rnacentral:rRNA from 1 species
AGAGUUUGAUCCUGGCUCAGGACGAACGCUGGCGGCGUGCUUAACACAUGCAAGUCGAACGGAAAGGUCUCUUCGGAGAUACUCGAGUGGCGAACGGGUGAGUAACACGUGGGUGAUCUGCCCUGCACUUCGGGAUAAGCCUGGGAAACUGGGUCUAAUACCGGAUAGGACCACGGGAUGCAUGUCUUGUGGUGGAAAGCGCUUUAGCGGUGUGGGAUGAGCCCGCGGCCUAUCAGCUUGUUGGUGGGGUGACGGCCUACCAAGGCGACGACGGGUAGCCGGCCUGAGAGGGUGUCCGGCCACACUGGGACUGAGAUACGGCCCAGACUCCUACGGGAGGCAGCAGUGGGGAAUAUUGCACAAUGGGCGCAAGCCUGAUGCAGCGACGCCGCGUGGGGGAUGACGGCCUUCGGGUUGUAAACCUCUUUCACCAUCGACGAAGGUCCGGGUUCUCUCGGAUUGACGGUAGGUGGAGAAGAAGCACCGGCCAACUACGUGCCAGCAGCCGCGGUAAUACGUAGGGUGCGAGCGUUGUCCGGAAUUACUGGGCGUAAAGAGCUCGUAGGUGGUUUGUCGCGUUGUUCGUGAAAUCUCACGGCUUAACUGUGAGCGUGCGGGCGAUACGGGCAGACUAGAGUACUGCAGGGGAGACUGGAAUUCCUGGUGUAGCGGUGGAAUGCGCAGAUAUCAGGAGGAACACCGGUGGCGAAGGCGGGUCUCUGGGCAGUAACUGACGCUGAGGAGCGAAAGCGUGGGGAGCGAACAGGAUUAGAUACCCUGGUAGUCCACGCCGUAAACGGUGGGUACUAGGUGUGGGUUUCCUUCCUUGGGAUCCGUGCCGUAGCUAACGCAUUAAGUACCCCGCCUGGGGAGUACGGCCGCAAGGCUAAAACUCAAAGGAAUUGACGGGGGCCCGCACAAGCGGCGGAGCAUGUGGAUUAAUUCGAUGCAACGCGAAGAACCUUACCUGGGUUUGACAUGCACAGGACGCGUCUAGAGAUAGGCGUUCCCUUGUGGCCUGUGUGCAGGUGGUGCAUGGCUGUCGUCAGCUCGUGUCGUGAGAUGUUGGGUUAAGUCCCGCAACGAGCGCAACCCUUGUCUCAUG